rnacentral:sRNA from 1 species
GACACUGUUUAUCAAAAUCCCCCAAACAGCUGCCUGGAGAGGGUGAUACAGAGAGAACCAGGCCUUUUAAAAUAGGCGUGAAGGGAAGACAGGGUGACAUCCCAGGGUGUCCAGGAGGUUGCUUUAGCCUAAGAGAAUAUCUGAAAAAGAGAUACAGAGAUGAAGGAAAGACCAAACAAGCAAACAAAUAUCUCCCCCUCCAAAAAACCCAAACAACCCACCCUCAAAAAACCAAAAACAAACCACGCUCAGGGCCAGGUGCUGGAUCUGAGGCCACCCAAAUCCAGGCUCCCGUGUCCCAGGACGAGACAUAGAGUUAGAAACAAGACAGUUCUUAAGGCAGGGAGAGCACUCAGAAGCUGACUAUUGCGCUCAGGGCAAAAGCUCCCAAAGCCCUGCCUCUCUUCAGGGCGUGGCCUUCACAGGUCUUUCAGGUAAUGCUACCCUUCCCAUUUGGAGGUUCAAAGUCUUUUCUCAUGUAAUAUUUCGCUCUGUAUGUGAAGCCCAGGUGAGGAACGGCUGUCCAGUCUUUCUCUGCCAAUUGGUUUCUCUUGUGCUAAUCUUGAGGCUUCCAUCUCCAGCCUCCAAUCUCCUGCCACAGUGUACGGUGGCUGGGUCAAGAAAGUAACUUCUGCGGAUAUUAAUAUACGGAGAAGAACAUUUCAUGUUUUCAUACGUAGGACAACAUCGAAGGAGAAGAUAUGGAGGCGCUCUUGUUUCGUCUCAGGAAGAUGUAUCCAUGGGAAGAUUGGACCCAGGACCUUCAGGGAUAUCCAAGUCAAUAGAUGCUCAAGUCCCUUAUGUGAAAAGGCAUGGGGCAGUGAUUGCCUAUAACCUGCACUCCUCUUUCUGUAUCCUUAAAUCUUCUAUAGAUUCCUGUUGGACACCUCAGACAAUACCAACACUAUGUAAAUAGUUGCUGUGCUUUAUUGUUUAGGGAAUAAGGAUAAGAAAAGGAACAUGAUACAUUUGUGUAGACGACAGUUUCCAAAUGUCUUUGAUGCGAGCUUGGUUGAAUCCACAGCUGCGGAACCUAUGCAUAUGAAGGCUGUCACUGUCUGCGCAUGUUUUAGCCUCUUCCAGAAGAAAAGGAUGCCAUUCAUACUUAAAUAAUCCUGUGUGGAUUCCACCCGUUUCCACUUGUUUAUGGAAGGUAUUAAUGGCGGGAUGUAUCCGUGAAAACCAGUCCUGGUUUGUUUUUUUUCAUGGGCUCAUUGUUUGGUGAGGGAGCCAGGCGGUGAACAAAAUAUGAAAUAACAGAUGAGAAGAGCGGUUUGGAACUUACCGAGGGAGGGGCUUAAUGCUCUUGGCCUCAGGCUAUGCAAGUAGCCUCUCCUGGUCUUUCUGCAUCUGUUUUCUCCCUUCUGUUAUUAUUGUUAGAGAUGCCAGAGUGGUCUUUCUCAUAAUAAAGAAGCUCACAAUACUUCCUUCCUUCAAGGCCUUCCAUGAUUCCUUAACACUCACCAAAGCUGUCAUCAAAUGCGAUACACACAGGAGUGUCUCCUGCCUUUCUCAGCCAAUCCAUCUUUUCUUCUCUCUUUCCCUCUGCUGGACCCCACUUGCGGGAGACACUUUUUUCUCCCCUGGUGACUGGAGGAGUAGGCCUGAACAUGCCACUGAGACUCUAUACUGGGUUAACUGAGACGAGAAGACCUGUACUGACUGGACUUGGCACCAUUCCGUGGGCUGAAUCCCGCACUCAGUGAAGAGGAUGAGGCGGUCAGCUCCCCAGAUGUCGCUGCUCCAUGCGUGUAUGUGAUGGAUGACCUGCUGGGGUUAGUGGUUAUGUGACAGGCACCCUGGAUGGGCCAGACCAUCUCCUGUGCUGCUUUGCAGGUGACUUUCUCGGUCCAUUCUACGGCCAAGCAAUUGACAGUCAAGAUUAACGUUCAUGAGUGCUAUCCACCUGGCAGAGGUCCAACAGGCUGAAGACAAAGAAGCCAUUGUGUAAGAGGAAAACAAAAAGAAGCACUGAAGAGAAAUUGUGUGAGUGAGUCAUAUUUGGUUUCUACAUAGUUAUCUCUUAAGCCCCUGUGUUUAAAACUCAAGUUAGUUCUUCUUCCUUUCCCCCAAAUGUCCAUAUUUAGUUGGUUAUUGGGAACCCAUGCAGUAACUCUUUUCCCUUCUGUUCUCAAGGAAGUCAUCUGAGUUCCUUGCCAAAGGUUCCUGUAUCUUGCAGCCAUGAAGGAACACUGGGGAUAUGUCUCCCCUCAUGGUUUCUCAGUUCCAUUGCAGGACUGUUUACCAGAAUUAUCUGUUGAGAGUGGCUCGCCUGUCUCAGUAUCUCCCAGGACUUAGUUGUUCCCAGCCUGCAAAGUCAAGCUAUUGGCAUCUCCUUUGACACCCCACCUACACACUUUGGCCAUAGUCACACUCUGUCACGUCAGGCCCCUGCAUCUGUGCAGUGGCCUGUGUUACGUUGCCUGCACGUAAUGGCAUGUAAUCCCAUUGCUCUAACCAUUUCCCCAGUGCUGAUGUGUUCCCGAUUCUUCAAGACCAGAGUGAUGGCACUCAGCUUCAACCAACCCCUCUGUGUCUUUGGAUAGAGGAAGUUUUCUAUGUUCCACAUCUGUGUGCUUCUGUUUCCUUCCCUGUACUGGGAUACAAUGGGUUAAAUGUGUAACAGCUUCUUGUCCAAGACUGAAAAGUUUGGGGAACACAGCUGUGUUGUUGGUGUCUUCAGUGCAUGGUCUCCAGAUACAGGGCAAUUCUUUAAAUUCAAUAUAUUUUUACCUAUGAUUAUAUUUUCUAUUUUAACUCAUAUUUUAAAAGUUAUAUACAACAGAAAGUCAUCAUGUUAGCCUCAUUUUUUAUGGUUUACCACGUGAUUCUGAACAUUUGUUUACUUCCUACCAUGUAUCAGCAGUGUGAGCUCGAGGCAAUUCUCAGACCAUUCUAUGACUUUGUUCAUCUAUAAAUUGAGUGUAACAUUGGGUGUUGUCCUGCCCACAGAGCGUUUAUGGAGAUUAGAUAAGUUAAUAUUAUAUAUAGUAUUUAAGACAAUGCUUGGUCUGUACUGAACCAGCAUUUUAGGACAAAUGAGAAAGCAAUUGGAGCGUGGGAUGAAACUGAGGAACAUGAAUCACGUGCAAGUGGUAAGGAAUGGGUUGAGCUGGGGCUGGAGAGAUGGC